GAGAUACAAAUUUUUCCGAUGGUAUGAUCACUUGGCGGAUCAACUUUAUGUUGCUUGGGCCCUCUUCUUCAAAAGCUUUAGCUAAGUAUUAGUAACAAACAUCCCUUGAGUGGAAUAGCUAUCAUCACUCUGAUCGUUAUUCAAAUACUGAGUUCUGCUUCAAGGAAUAAGGAGUUCUGCUGUAGCGAAGCAUGGUCAAACCUAUCAGUUGUCUUGUUGUUAUCUGAACUAUAGUGAAUUAUGAGAAGAGAACAUGUUGUAAUAACAAUUAUGUGUGUCUCAUGUUGUUAAGAAGCCUUUUGAUGAAUGGUGUUCCAUGUGAUAUAUGAAGGUACACAGUAAAAAGAUAUUAUAUGUCUCUGUAUUUAAAGAUUUCAGGUAUCAAAACUUGAAACUUGCAACAUAGUGAAUCAAAUCAAAUAUCAAAUACCAAACAAUCUAAUAGUAACAUUCUGUUUUGA